rnacentral:rRNA from 1 species
CCUACGGGAGGCAGCAGUGGGGGAUAUUGCACAAUGGGGGGAACCCUGAUGCAGCGACGCCGCGUGGGGGAAGAAGGGCCUCGGCGCGGAAAGCCCUGUCAGCAGGGAAGAAAAUGACGGUACCUGAAGAAGAAGCCCCGGCUAACUACGUGCCAGCAGCCGCGGUAAUACGUAGGGGGCAAGCGUUAUCCGGAGUUACUGGGGGUAAAGGGGGCGCAGACGGCGAUGCAAGCCAGGAGGGAAAGCCCGGGGCCCAACCCCGGGACUGGUCUUGGAACUGCGUGGCUGGAGUGCAGGAGGGGCAGGCGGGAUUCCUGGUGUAGCGGUGGAAUGCGUAGAUAUCAGGCGGGACACCGGUGGCGAAGGCGGCCUGCUGGACUGCAACUGACGUUGAGGCCCGCAAGCGUGGGGGGCAAACAGGAUUAGAUCCCCCUGGUAGUC